UAAGCACCUCUGAAGGGUUUAUUUGUCUGUAAAUCUGACUGAUGACAUCAGUGCCUCAGCAGCCGUAAAACCUCACCGCACGUCACUGCAUCUGAGAAUAUCAUUUCUCAAAAAUCCUACUAAAUUUUGACCCCUAAAGUUGUGCUAAAAACAUAAGCAAACAACACAGUUCAAUAUGACCCACCUAUACAUAAAAAUGAUCGCUUGCAACCUGUAUCCAUGGUAACAGUUUGCUUUUAGCAUCUAUUGCUCUUCAAAAACUUUACUUUUGGUUGUUGUUAGACAAAUCUUACCCAGUUGUGUCAGUAUAAGACUAAACAUUACUGAGUAUAAAACCUCAACAGGAAAAAAAGAAAAAAAAAAACAAACUUGGCAACACAAAAAAGCCCUAAAGUGUUUGUGAAAAUGUUACUCGUGGAUUUAAUACGUUUGAAUCUGUCCAGCUGUUUUUCCUUUGGUGAGGUUGUAAACUUAAAAAUACAUUUAAAUUAAUGAUUUGCACUUCAUCGUACUGAAGGAAGCUGAAAACAUCCCUGAGUCGGAUAAUCUAUGUUUAAGCUUUUGUAGAAGUGGAUUUAAAGGUGGACUUACUGUUGGUGAGCUGGUAGGUCUUAGCGUUCGCUCGGAGCCAGCUGAUGGCCAGAUGGGCCGACUCUUUCAUUACGUCUCCCAGCUGACCCGUCAGAGUCAGCUGACCUUCUCCUUCCAUCCGACUGGCCUCCACGAACAUGAUUUCCCCGCCGAGCGGCGUCCAGGCCAAACCCAGCGCCACGCCGGGCAGGGUGAGCCGCUCCGACACCUACAAGGAAACGUCUGUGAAGCUCCAGCUGAUUUUAGAAAAUGCUUCUUAAAAUGUCUCUACAUAUAAAACAACUUUAAGACCUCAAAGAUCUGCUACAUUUCUUCUCAAGUUUCAACUUUAUGAUGAGCAGCUGUGAGAUCUCUCACCCUGCGGCUGUUCUCAGACGCUCCACAGGAUUUCACAAUAAAAGUCAGGAUUGAGGUCCAUCCAGCAGCUCUUCCAGUAGUUGCUGGAUGAUUUAGAGCUCGUCUGAGUCUUUCUGCUGCUUACCUCCAACUCAAAAAGAGGAGGUCCGAGGAUGUCCUUCAGGGCCAUCUGAUCGAUCACUAUAGGCAUCUCUGGUGGAGCGGCUUUAUCUGGAAACAUCAAAACAUCAAUCAGUGCAAAAAGUCCAAAAACAAACACAAUUUAGCUCAAUCCUGCAGCGUUUUUGUUGAAUUUCACUGUUGUUUAGCAUCUGAAUAUGAUCAAAUAAAACAUAUAAAAAGAUGUGUAUAAACCAUUUCCUUUGUUUAACCUUCUGCUUUAGUGAGCAAUUUUAUUUUUGGUUAUUUUUGCCAAAAAAAAACCCUACAUCUGCUGCAGCUUUUUAAAAUAUUUACGGGCACAGCUGUAAUAUUUUGCGGGCUGUAAUGAACUUCAAUAAGCAUUUAAUACGAACCUUAAGGAAAGAGAACAGCUUCAACAGUUAUACUAGAUAAAAGAAAAAACAAAAUAAAUCCAUAACAUGA